rnacentral:rRNA from 1 species
UACAGAGGUCCCAAGCGUUGUUCGGAUUCAUUGGGCGUAAAGGGUGCGUAGGUGGCGUCGUAAGUCGGGUGUGAAAUCUCAGAGCUCAACUCUGAAACUGCACUCGAUACUGCUUUGCUUGAGGACUGGAGAGGAGAUUGGAAUUCACGGUGUAGCAGUGAAAUGCGUAGAUAUCGUGAGGAAGACCAGUGGCGAAGGCGGAUCUCUGGACAGUUCCUGACGCUGAGGCGCGAAGGCCAGGGGAGCAAACGGG